UACGAGUGCCCCAAGCGUUAUCCGGAAUCAUUGGGCGUAAAGGGUGUGUAGGUGGUGUGGUUAGUCUUCUGUCAAAGCCUCGGGCUUAACCCGAGAUCUGCAGAGGAAACGGCCAUGCUAGAGUGUGCAAGAGGUGAAUGGAACUCAUGGAGUAGGGGUGAAAUCCGUUGAUAUCAUGGGGAACACCAAAAGCGAAGGCAAUUCACUGGUGCAUUACUGACACUGAAACACGAAAGCGUGGGUAGCGAACGGG
rnacentral:rRNA from 1 species